GCUAAACAGCUAGCUUUAACACCAAUACCCUUAAACAACAUUUAAACAUCUUUCAUAACACUAGCAACAAAACUAAACCAUUCUUCCACCCCAGUAUAGGAGAUAAAAAAGGUUACAUUCAAAGCAAUAGAAAAAGUACCGCAAGGGAACGCUGAAAAAGAAAUGAAACAACCCAUCCAAGCACUAAAAAGCAGAGAUCAACUCUCGUACCUUUUGCAUCAUGAUUUAGCUAGUAUUUCUGAGCAAAGAGUACUUUAGUUCAGUUACCCGAAACCAAGUGAGCUACCCCAAGACAGCCUUCUAGGGCCAACCCGUCUCUGUGGCAAAAGAGUGGGAAGAUCUUCGGGUAGAGGUGAUAAGCCUACCGAACUUGGUGAUAGCUGGUUGCCUAAAAAUUGGAUAAAAGUUCAGCCCCGUACUCCUUAUCCCACUACAAUAAUGGUCACAAGAAAUAUACGAGAGUUAGUCAAAGGGGGUACAGCCCCUUUGAAACAGGACACAACCUUAUCGGGAGGUUAAAGAUCAUAUCUCACAAAACUACUGUUGAAGUGGGCCUAAAAGCAGCCACCUGUAAAGAUAGCGUUAAAGCUCAGACAGAUAAUAGUUUAUUAUUCAGAUAUCUCCCUCUAAUACCCCCAACCUUAUUAGGCCCCUUCAUGCCCACAUGAAAGUGAUACUGCUAAAAUUAGUAACAAGAAGAAAUUACCCUUCUCCCCGCAUAAGUGUAUGUUAGACCGGACCCACCACUAAUUAUUAACGAACCCAAUUAAAAGAGGGAAAUAUAACUCUAAUAAAAAACAAGAAAAGCCUAUUACAACAAUCGUUAACCUCACACAAGUAUGCUAUAAAGGAAAGAUUAAAAGAAAAGGAAGGAACUCGGCAAACCUAGGCCUCGCCUGUUUACCAAAAACAUCGCCUCCUGUAACCCGCACAUAGGAGGUCCUGCCUGCCCAGUGAAUAUUAAACGGCCGCGGUAUUUUGACCGUGCAAAGGUAGCGCAAUCACUUGCCCCCUAAUUAGGGGCCUGUAUGAAUGGCUAGACGAAGGCCCAACUGUCUCCCUUUUCAAAUCAGUUAAAUUGAUCUACCUGUGCAGAAGCAGGUAUCCACCUACAAGACGAGAAGACCCUUUGGAGCUUAAGAUUAAAGUCAAUUACAUCAAUAAGUUAUACUUAAACUAAGUAAUACUGACCCGCAUCUUCGGUUGGGGCGACCGCGGGGGAAAACCAAGCCCCCAUGAAGAAAGAUAAACCCUUCUAAACCCAGAAAGACAUUUCUAAGUCACAGAACAUCUGACUAAAAGAUCCGUUUUUAUACGACCAGCGAACCAAGUUACCCAAGGGAUAACAGCGCAAUCCCCUUCCAGAGUCCCUAUCGACAAGGGGGUUUACGACCUCGAUGUUGGAUCAGGACAUCCUAAUGGUGUAGCCGCUAUUAAGGGUUCGUUUGUUCAACGAUUAAAGUCCUACGUGAUCUGAGUUCAGACCGGAGAAAUCCAGGUCAGUUUCUAUCUGUAAUGUUAUUUCUCUUAGUACGAAAGGACCAGAGAAAUGUGGCCAAUAUUAAAAAUAUGCCUCACUCUAACUUUAUGAAUCCAACUCAAUUAAAUAAAAGAUGAACCCCCCCCACCCCAAAAUCAGGGGA
rnacentral:rRNA from 1 species